rnacentral:rRNA from 1 species
CAGUCGCCGCGGUAGUACGUGGGGGGCAAGCGUUGUUCGGAUUUAUUGGGCGUAAAGCGUGCGUAGGCGGCUUUUUAAGUCGGAUGUGAAAUCCCUGAGCUUAACUUAGGAAUUGCAUUCGAUACUGGGAAGCUAGAGUAUGGGAGAGGAUGGUAGAAUUCCAGGUGUAGCGGUGAAAUGCGUAGAGAUCUGGAGGAAUACCGAUGGCGAAGGCAGCCAUCUGGCCUAAUACUGACGCUGAGGUACGAAAGCAUGGGGAGCAAACAGGAUUAGAUACCCGGGUAGUCCCUGUCUCUUAUAC